GGUUACACUGGAUGCUGAUACUAACUCUCCAAACCCACAGCAAGGAUUUUGGAUGAAAGCAAUACACUACACAAGCUUGCCCAUCAGCCGCUCAGCUAGGUCAACAAACAUCCUGAUCUUUCCUGAAGCCAACCGUCAAUUACCACACAGACACAUGGCCUUCUUGCUGUCUUAAAUAAAGUGUCCGACACGCCGCAGAGUGACACAUAUCAAUACCAAUCUGACAGGCCCUGUUGCCACCUCAGCUACAGAAGAGACAAGCUGCACCUGCCUCACCGUGGGACAUGUGUCUGUUCACCACAUCCCCCCGCAGACACACACACACACACACGUCACUGGUUUCUGUAUUUGCUGAGUGCCCUGUGCUAUUUUCCGAAGCCCAUUAUUAUAUUCAUUUCAGAACGGCGUCUGAAGCCUGUUGGUCUGGUACCUGGGGCUGCGGAGCCCUGCUGCUGUACAGUGAUUUGUCGUGACAUUCUGACAGCGGCCGGGGAGAGAGGGCAUGAGAGGAAAAGAACAUGGUCUUAACAGAGCCACCGCUGGCCCGGGCUCUGGGUGGCUGCUGGGUGUGCCCCUCUCACCCGUGUUAGGGGGCAGGUGUCACUACGCGGUGAGGGGCAUCAGUCAGACUGGAGCUUCAUCUGACUGGAGAGGAUCAAUCUCGUACCUUAAUGCAAGUGGACACGACACAGAGGAUGCAGGAAGAAUGAAGUGGAGAAGAUGAGGGGUGAUUAACAACAUGACACUGAGAACAUCUCCCCCUUCUCACAAACAAGCCACCUCCCUCUCUGACAUCCUCGGACCAUCGCCAGCUCGGCGCACAUCCCCUGACAGUUUUAGUUCCAUCCAUCCAUCCAUUUUCUACCGCUUAUCCGAACUACCUCGGGUCACGGGGAGCCUGUGCCUAUCUCAGGAGUCAUCGGGCAUCAAGGCAGGAUACACCCUGGAUGGAGUGCCAACCCAUCGCAGGGCACACACACUCACUCAUUCACUCGCGCACUCACACCCUACGGACAAUUUUUCCAGAGAUGCCAAUCAACCUACCAUGCAUGUCUUUGGACCAGGGGAGGAAACCGGAGUACCCGGAGGAAACCCCUGAGGCACGGGGAGAACAUGCAAACUCCACACACACAAGUCGGAAGCGGGAAUCGAACCCCCAGCACUGGAGGUGUGAGGCGAACGUGCUAACCACUAAGCCACCGUGCCCCCCAGUUUUAGUUCAAUUAUUUUAUAAUAAACAUACCUACAAUUUAUAUGUGUUUUCGAUUCUUCAAGCUUUUUCCGGCAGAGAGGGGAGGGGUUUGGAAUCGCACAGAGAUUCAAAAUGGAGCGGCACUCAGCAUUUGUUUGCUGGAU